AGACCUCAACAAUGUGGAACAUCUGACACUUAUGGACUUCCUUCAAAACCUAACUGAGAAGCAAUGGAGGGGGAUUCGUGAGGGCAUGUUUGACCCGCUGACAAAACAACAGCUUGCCGGCUUGUG